GAUAUGUAGGUGUAUUAGCACAUAAAGUUUUGAUCUUUAAGGUAAGAUGGAAAAUUCUUUACAUAUUA
rnacentral:tRNA from 1 species